rnacentral:sRNA from 1 species
UGACCAUAAGCUAAAUGCUACUAGUCUAUCUCAUUAUCGACUUAGCAGGAGAAAGCAAUCUUAAUUUUCCUCUCUUCCUGUUUGUUUCUCAUAAUUAGGGUUUCGUUUUGCGGACACUUUACCUCUAAAAUGGCUUAUAGCAUCUCCAACCCUACUCUAUUUUAGAGUCAAAAUGCAAAAUUCUUCUCCAACCCUACUCUAUAAUUGACUCAAAAAUAGAGAUUUCUACAGAUUGACUCUAUAUAUAGAACAACUCUAUCCUCAACUCUAUUUUUGAGUUCAAUUUUUUUAUUUAUACUUUAGUCCCUCAAAUUUAAACUUUUUU